CAGGUCGAAUUGCUCCAUACCGACAGCCGUUGUCGAAGGAGGAAGAGGAGCCUGAGAAAUUGGAGGUGAGGCUAGAGCCUAAGAUCUGGCCGCGAAGGUCGUGGAUCGUCUGGUGGAUGCCUUUCGGGGAGGCAUCAGGUGGAGAUCUAAUAGGAGAAGGAGAGGAGGACGUCGGAGGAGAUGACUAGAGGUAGUCCUGUUGAGCACUCCUUUAAGAGCAAGGGUACUGCGAAGACACAGCCCUCCUUCCUCUAGUGCCAAUUUUGUUGGUGCAGAAUUUUGCCGAAGCUGGAGUUACUGGAGUCAAGAUAAUUGUGGCCGCACCGGGACCUGCAAGGGAAGUCUAAAUCGGAGUUGGGGGUGCUCCGGCAAGACCCUCCGAUGCUCAAGUCAGUACUCUGCCUCAACAGAAAUGGAGUGCUCGAGUGAGAAUUUUAGCAGAGUUUU
rnacentral:lncRNA from 1 species